rnacentral:lncRNA from 1 species
AUGACUGUUGGAGCGAAAGUUUGAAUCAGGAUUCUGUGGUUGGAUUUUUCAUGUGGCUAAUAAAUCAAUUCAUUCCUUUAAGUAUGUAGGGGAAAGACCAUUUGGAGGAAUCCUGGAAACAAGUGCAAAGAUAGAAGUGCAUAUGGGAAAAUAGACCUGCUACUCUUGAGUGGUUCACCUCAUGUGGAUGGCAGUGACCUCUGGGAGUCCGUUCAUUUACCCAUCCAUUCAGUCCACUCACAUUAUGGAGCCCUGUGAUAUGCCAAGGAAUCAAAUAAAGAAGCUCGCUGCUUCUGUGAACUUUCAGCCUGGCGGAGGAGGCAGACCAGCAGGACACGGAUGCUUAUGUAAUGGGCACCUGUAUUGCAUUAUAUUCUCGAGAACUGAGCGUCUGGGAAGGAGAGUAAUCUGCACCCCCUCCCCCAAAGGAAGGUGGAGACAAGCCUAGGGUGACUUCUGUACCAGGGGGAUUCAGCACUGUGGUUUACCUUGUCGGCGGGAUACACAGCUCAUCAGAUUCGGACUCUUACUUUCUAGAGAAGACAGUGGCUCACAGGGGCUCAGGGCCUCUUAUGAAUGAGGAGCUCGCAUGGAAGGCCUUUAGCACUCCCAAGAACAAAGAGCAGAGUCAUAACAAAACAAAACAGUGCCCCCUAAAAAAAAGACAAGAGAGGAAGACAAAAGG